UUUAAACGCAGCCAUAAGUUUCUGUGUCCAACUUUGAUCGUCCAUCUUAUCUAUUUUUUUUAAAAAAAUUAAAAACAUAAAUUACAGAUAAAAUAAUAUUCACGUUUUAUCGUCUAAUAAUAAUGAUGAUGAUGAUGAUUCUUUUUUAAAUAAGAUGAACGAUUAAAGUUAGACACAUAAACUCAUGGUUACGCUUACA
rnacentral:pre_miRNA from 1 species